CAGGCCCCGCCCACCGGGGCACCUGCGGCUUCCGGCCGCUCUACUGCCCGACGUGGAACACCCGCGCUGAAAGCUUGUGUAGGGAGACUUUUCGAAGGAUUGAGCGGGGCAGAAUGUGCGUGAACAGUGGAGUCUGCCUCCUCUUGAGUGCUGGCUCUUCUCAGUGACGUGCUUCUGACACGGAGAAUGCGUGGGACUCUGCCCCCUCUCCCUUUCUGACAGCUCGCCCUGGGGGGCCAGCAGCCACGUGCUGAGAACGCCCACGCAGCCCUGGGGAGCGUCCACGCGGGAGGACCAGAGGCCGCCUGCUGACUCCGUGUGGGUGAGCUGACUUGAGGAUCCUCCACCCCAGUCCAGCCUUGGGGGGACCAGAGGCUUAGCCGACGUCCCGACUGCAACCUGGGGAGAGUCCCUGAGCCCGACUGCCCAGCUCCUGAAUUCCCGAUUUAAGGACGUGGUGAGAUAAGGCGUGAUGUUCUAAGCCACCGCUUGAGGUAAUUUGUGACACAGCAUAGAUAACACAGGAUUGGCUCCCCAGAAGGACUCCCACCUUUGCUUUUUUGUUGUUAGGGAAAGUGUGAUCUGUCUGUGAAGGGUUCCCCAUCCUUGCCCAAGUCAGAGGCUCCACGUGGUGACUGUUACAAAUGCCGUCUGCCCCCUAAUACCUGCUUAGGGUCCCCUAAGAGUAAGCCCUGGCCUGUGAUCAGCCUGGUCCUCUGGGAACGCCAGGCAUGUGCUUGUAUGUGGCGUGUGUCCAUGUGCCCAGGAUACCGGCAUGCAGAACUCACGCCUCAUAAAAACAACGCACUCCCUUUCUCUCCCACCUUUCUCCCAGCUUUUCCUCUUGCAGGUUUCUGAGGUCUCUGUCUUUUGGGCGGCUGUGUGUCCUGGAUUCUGACUUUCCCACCUCUCCCUGGGCAGGGGAAGGAGGGGAUAUGGUGAGAGGUCCUUGGAGCCUGGGGAAGUAGCCAGGACCGCCUGCCCCAGGAGAGGUCGGUCCCCACCUUGGGGCCAGAUCUGUGUCUGUGAACAAUCAGCUGCCCAAUGGGGGCCACAGAGCCACAGGUUACACCCCUGGGACCCGCUAGGACCCACUCCACAGGACACUGCAGUGAGAAGGACAAGCCUCGGAUCUCGGACCCUCAUGAGUUCUCUGUUAGCAGCAGCCUGGGGCCCAGGCCAGCAGGAGGGCUCAGGCCUGGGGAGAGCGGGGACAGCCCCACCUGCCUGUGGGCUCUGCCUCCUCCUCCCUCACACCCCCACUGUCUCCUGGGGCUCCA